rnacentral:rRNA from 1 species
UACGUAGGGCGCAAGCGUUGUCCGGAAUUAUUGGGCGUAAAGAGCUCGUAGGCGGCUUGUCACGUCGGUUGUGAAAGCCCGGGGCUUAACCCCGGGUCUGCAGUCGAUACGGGCAGGCUAGAGUGUGGUAGGGGAGAUCGGAAUUCCUGGUGUAGCGGUGAAAUGCGCAGAUAUCAGGAGGAACACCGAUGGCGAAGGCAGGUCUCUGGGCCACUACUGACGCUGAGAAGCGAAAGCAUGGGGAGCAAACAGG